GACGAACGCUGGCGGCGUGCUUAACACAUGCAAGUCGAACGAAGAGCGACGGAAGCUUGCUUCUAUCAAUCUUAGUGGCGAACGGGUGAGUAACGCGUAAUCAACCUGCCCUUCAGAGGGGGACAACAGUUGGAAACGACUGCUAAUACCGCAUACGAUCUAACCUCGGCAUCGAGGAUAGAUGAAAGGUGGCCUCUACAUGUAAGCUAUCACUGAAGGAGGGGAUUGCGUCUGAUUAGCUAGUUGGAGGGGUAACGGCCCACCAAGGCGAUGAUCAGUAGCCGGUCUGAGAGGAUGAACGGCCACAUUGGGACUGAGACACGGCCCAGACUCCUACGGGGGGCAGCAGUGGGGAAUCUUCCGCAAUGGACGAAAGUCUGACGGAGCAACGCCGCGUGAGUGAUGACGGCCUUCGGGUUGUAAAGCUCUGUUAAUCGGGACGAAAGGCCUUCUUGCGAAUAGUGAGAAGGAUUGACGGUACCGGAAUAGAAAGCCACGGCUAACUACGUG
rnacentral:rRNA from 1 species